CGUACGGCCUUAUCACUUGUUCCUUCUUCAACAAUUCCACCACCACCGCCUCCUUCUCUCUCCUUCUCCGGCGACCUCCUUCCUCUUCCCUUCUCUCCUCCGUUUCUUCUCCUCCAAGACUUCGCAGAAACACAAAUCACCUUCUCUUCCGCCGCCGUCUUCUUAUUCUUCUUCGCUUCGCCGUCCGUCGGCGACUCUAUCCGAAGCCCUGGCUCAGAAAAUUGG
rnacentral:lncRNA from 1 species